AUAUGUUAAAAAAUGGUACAUUUGGUGAAUGAGAAAUGAAUUUUGUUUUGGCUAUUAAAUUACCGACUUAUUAUUGUUGUAUAUUUUCUAGCUUACAAUUUGCUCACAGAUAAGAUACUAUCAUCUAUCUAGCCUGUAUGUAAUCUUGUUUGAACUAACAUACCAAUCCUGUAAAUUUUAUCUGUAAACAUCUCAUUUCAAUUCAUUAUUAUUGGUGAUUUACACACAAGAAAACUAAGGUUCAAAACCUCAAAUUCAAGAAACUUUUUUCCACCAAUCUCUUAUGGAGUAGGUGCUAUUUUUACACAUUUUGGCAUGAUAAUUUAUAAAGAUCGCAAGUGUCCUAUUUUAGUUUUUUUUGUCAUUAUUUUAAUCACUAAUAGAUUUAGAGGUUGAAGGUGUAUUGCUGUUAGAUACAAAAGCAAACUGAUAAGCCUUUGCCAACAACAUAGAGCCAGUCCAGCCUUCACAUCCUGCAGUCUGACCAGGCUCUAUACUGUUGGCUGUCAGUCUUGAUAUGUUUAAAACUGAUAAUGGAUGGUUCCAAAAAAUGGAGGCUGGACAAGUCUAUUUAUGAAAUUCAGCCGGUUAAAUGUUAUAGAGCAUAUUAAGGGUUAAUUUGUUGAUGUAUGUAUGUCAAAUUAGGUGAGCUUAAUUAGUUAUACACAUAAAGUGUUCUUGUAUUUAUGAUGGGAUCAUAGAUUGUAUGGACCAAAUAUUGUUACUUUAUGUGUUCAGUUUAAAGUGUAUAUAUCAAUCAUGAUUAUACUCUUUACCAUUAUUAUGCAACAUGUUUUGUGUUCAGGGCAUUUGAAAUGGUGUCACAAGACAAGCUCACAUUUUAAUCAUCAUAACUUUUAUAAGAGAUCAACUAUUACCUAUCAGAAGCAUGUUUUGUUUUCAUGGGCUUUAGGUUUGUUAGAGGACUAUCACCCAUUUACAUUUUCUUCUCCUUAAAAUUAACUUGCAGCCAGUUGUUAAUUUAAAGUCUGAAUGGUACCUUUAGUAUAUGGUAGUUUUUCUUGUAAUACGUAGUACUUUUUUUUUUAAAUUAUCUAAAAGGGCUGGCUAGAUUUCAAUCAAAUAAUAACUUUAGUGAAAAGGUUUUGCUUUAUUCGAGAAUAUGACUUUUAAAAUCAAGCAAUUAUUUUCUUUAUUUUUACAUCUUACUGAAUCAGUAACUUAUCCACAGUUUUUAGUAGAGUAAGGGAGAUAAUUACAGAACAAAUUAUAAGUAAGCUUGUUACAGUGCAGUUAACCAAUUUUAAGUUAACCAUCACUUGAUAAUAUUUUAGUUUUAAUCAGUUUAUAUUCUCUUUAUACUUACUUAGAAUAGGUCAUUAUUAAUUAUUAAGUUGUGAGCAAGACAGAAUCAUUUUGACCUCUUGUGAUAUGAUAAAAUGAAGAGGCAAGUGAUUAAAACAUUAUUUCAUUUAGUAGCAUGAAGCCAUUUCUAGUUCUAGUAGUUUUGAAAAUUUGGAAAGAUUUUUUUUAUUUUCCUUUCCUCCUAUGCUAUGGUAUUUACUUUAUUAUUGAAAUUUCAAUUUUAUGGCACAGACUAGCAUCUUAUGGUUGCGGUAAGCAGUAAAUAAAUUGGUUAUUAAAAUAUGUUAUCAUUUUGUUAUGCAUUGUACAUCAUCAACAUCAUCACAUUCUUUUUUUUACAUUUAUCUACCUUUCUGGCAUUCCCAUUACAUUGAAUUGUUACUAAGAUUAUAUUGUCUAAAUUAUUGAAAUAAAAUCAAAUGCCUAAAAUAAA